UAAGGAAUAUUGGUCAAUGGACGCAAGUCUGAACCAGCCAUGCCGCGUGAAGGAUGAAGGUCCUCUGGAUUGUAAACUUCUUUUAUCUGGGACGAAAACGGGAUUUUUAUCUCAAUUGACGGUACCAGAGGAAUAAGCACCGGCUAACUCCGUGCCAGCAGCCGCGGUAAUACGGAGGGUGCGAGCGUUAAUCGGAAUUACUGGGCGUAAAGCGUGCGCAGGCGGUUUUGUAAGUCAGAGGUGAAAUCCCCGGGCUCAACCUGGGAACUGCCUUUGUGACUGCAAAGCUGGAGUGCGGCAGAGGGGGAUGGAAUUCCGCGUGUAGCAGUGAAAUGCGUAGAUAUGCGGAGGAACACCGAUGGCGAAGGCAAUCCCCUGGGCCUGCACUGACGCUCAUGCACGAAAGCGUGGGGAUCAAACA
rnacentral:rRNA from 1 species